GAUGAACGCUGGCGGCGUGCUUAACACAUGCAAGUCGAACGAGAAAUGGAGACGGACACCUUCGGGCGGAAGGCUUCAUUUCGAGUGGCGGACGGGUGAGUAACGCGUGGGUAACCUGCCUCAUACAGGGGGAUAACAGUUGGAAACGACUGUUAAUACCGCAUAAGACCACAGCACCGCAUGGUGCGGGGGUAAAAACUCCGGUGGUAUGAGAUGGACCCGCGUUCGAUUAGCCAGUUGGCGGGGUAACGGCCCACCAAAGCGACGAUCGAUAGCCGAUCUGAGAGGAUGACCGGCCACAUUGGGACUGAGACACGGCCCAAACUCCUACGGGAGGCAGCAGUGGGGAAUAUUGCACAAUGGGGGAAACCCUGAUGCAGCGACGCCGCGUGAGUGAAGAAGUACUUCGGUAUGUAAAGCGCUAUCAGCAGGGAAGAAAAUGACGGUACCUGAGUAAGAAGCCCCGGCUAACUACGUG
rnacentral:rRNA from 1 species